rnacentral:rRNA from 1 species
UUUAUGGAGAGUUUGAUCCUGGCUCAGGACGAACGCUGGCGGCGUGCCUAAUACAUGCAAGUCGAGCGAACAGAUAAGGAGCUUGCUCCUUUGACGUUAGCG